rnacentral:rRNA from 1 species
GCAGUCGGACGGUAGCACAGAGAGCUUGCUCUUGGGUGACGAGUGGCGGACGGGUGAGUAAUGUCUGGGGAUCUGCCCGAUAGAGGGGGAUAACCACUGGAAACGGUGGCUAAUACCGCAUAACGUCGCAAGACCAAAGAGGGGGACCUUCGGGCCUCUCACUAUCGGAUGAACCCAGAUGGGAUUAGCUAGUAGGCGGGGUAAUGGCCCACCUAGGCGACGAUCCCUAGCUGGUCUGAGAGGAUGACCAGCCACACUGGAACUGAGACACGGUCCAGACUCCUACGGGAGGCAGCAGUGGGGAAUAUUGCACAAUGGGCGCAAGCCUGAUGCACCCAUGCCGCGUGUAUGAAGAAGGCCUUCGGGUUGUAAAGUACUUUCAGCGGGGAGGAAGGCGGUGAGGUUAAUAACCUCGCCGAUUGACGUUACCCGCAGAAGAAGCACCGGCUAACUCCGUGCCAGCAGCCGCGGUAAUACGGAGGGUGCAAGCGUUAAUCGGAAUUACUGGGCGUAAAGCGCACGCAGGCGGUCUGUUAAGUCAGAUGUGAAAUCCCCGGGCUUAACCUGGGAACUGCAUUUGAAACUGGCAGGCUUGAGUCUCGUAGAGGGGGGUAGAAUUCCAGGUGUAGCGGUGAAAUGCGUAGAGAUCUGGAGGAAUACCGGUGGCGAAGGC